rnacentral:rRNA from 1 species
AACGAACGCUGGCGGCAUGCCUAACACAUGCAAGUCGAACGAGACCUUCGGGUCUAGUGGCGCACGGGUGCGUAACGCGUGGGAACCUGCCCUUAGGUUCGGAAUAACUCCCCGAAAGGGGUGCUAAUACCGGAUAAUGUCUUCGGACCAAAGAUUUAUCGCCUUUGGAUGGGCCCGCGUUGGAUUAGCUAGUUGGUAGGGUAAAAGCCUACCAAGGCGACGACCCAUAGCUGGUCUGAGAGGAUGAUCAGCCACACUGGGACUGAGACACGGCCCAGACUCCUACGGGAGGCAGCAGUGGGGAAUAUUGGACAAUGGGCGAAAGCCUGAUCCAGCAAUGCCGCGUGAGUGAUGAAGGCCUUAGGGUUGUAAAGCUCUUUUACCCGGGAUGAUAAUGACAGUACCGGGAGAAUAAGCUCCGGCUAACUCCGU